rnacentral:lncRNA from 1 species
AAUAAUAGCAUAACAUACACCAAAAAAUAUGAUAACAUAGAAUACAUAGAUGAAUGUAAUAUUUGAAAAAAAUAUUAUAAACUGAUCACGGAACCAAACCAAACUAAACCGAAUCAGUUAGUUUUGUUUGAUUCCAUUUAAAAAAACACUAAAGACCGAACCAAACAAAACCAAUAAAGAUAUCAUAUAAUUUUGGACCAAAAAUCGGUCCAAACCGAAUCGAUUACAC